rnacentral:rRNA from 1 species
GAUGAACGCUGGCGGCGUGCCUAAUACAUGCAAGUCGAACGCAUAGCGCAAGCUUCUUUCACCUUUCAUGUUAGUGGCGAACUGUUUAGUACCACUUUGACAACCUGCCUCAAUUCUUGUGUUUACUUUUGGAAACAUAUCCUAAUACCUAAUAAAACUUAGUGUCUCAUGACACAAAGUUAAAUGGCUCUUCUUCUUCACCUAGAGAUGGAUCCGCGUUGCAUUAGUUAGUUGGUGGGGUAAAGGCCUACCAAGACAAUGAUGCAUAGACGACUUGAGAGAGGGAUCGGCAACAUGGGAACUGAGAAACGGAACAAAGUACUACGGGAGGGAGCAGUAGGGAAUAUGAGACAAGGGGGGAAAGCAGGAUGGAGGAACGCGGAGUGUGAGAUGAAGGAUUUAGGGUCGUAAAGAAGUGUUGUAAGGGAAGAAAAGAAAGAAAAGGAAAUGAAUAUAGUUUGACGGUAACAUAAAAGAAAGGGACGGCUAAAUACGUG